rnacentral:lncRNA from 1 species
GGCCACGUGGUGGUGCAGGUAGCUGCUUUGGCGAGCCCUGCUCACUGUCCGUGGUCUAGGUCGCACUCCUUCCCAGUUACUAUCCUUUGGUCCUGCCUUUCCGUGCCUCCCUACAGAUCUCAUCCCACUCCAGGCUUCCUCAGCCCCGCCCUUAUAUAAUGGAAGCUCCGCCUCCUUUCCAUCCCAGAUUGUGGAAAAGACAACACUAGCAUUAGGUUUGCUACUGUGGCUGCUUUGAGACCUUCUAGCCCUUUUACUUCCGGCUCUGCCCCCACGUUUAUGUUCCCGGAUCACACUUGAAUAAUUUCACUGCUAUCUCAAGCUCUUUUCCAAAUUCACCUCUGCCUAUGUCCACCUGAUUAGUUCUGGCCCACAUCUAAAGCCUCGUCCAAGCUCAGAUUUAUGUUAUUUCAACUUGGAUAUUACACAAGCUAUGUCCUUGACUGGAAAAAGAAAAAAAGGAAAAAUCUUGGUUUGGUCUGUGGCUUACCUGAAACCCUGUCCUUUGCUCUAUUGUAAUUGGGAACACACCUAAUUUAGCUGCUUCUUGGCCCUGCCUAGACCCCAUACAGGUCUGUCCACAAACAGGAGGCAGUCACCCCUACACUUGGGGAUAUUCAGGGAGGGGAUACUGAGGUAAGCAAGCAAGUAGAACUGAGCUUCUAGGCAGCAGCGCCUGUAGCUAAAGUGGUAGGGCAGGCCCUAGCAACAUAGAAGGGUGGAGCUCCACUGAGCUCUGAUUGGUAGAUUUGGGCAGAGGGCGGGGCAUCUUGUUGCUGAUUGGCUAAGGAGCUAAGUCUAUGGGUGCUGAUUGGUAGAGGGUAGAGUCUGGGGGGCAUCUAGUUUGAUGUGUAUUUUGACCCACAGAAAGCCCAGUUCAACUGGGAUCCAGAGACUGUCGGCCUCAUACAUGGCUCCUUUUUCUGGGGCUACAUUGUCACUCAGAUUCCUGGAGGAUUUAUCUGCCAAAAAUUCGCAGCCAACAGGUACCGUUGUAGUGUCUCAAGGUGGCAGAAAUUGGAGUUGUGUGUGGUGGAGCUAGAGGGUGUGGCCUUGGGUUUGGCUCUGGGAAAUUGGGAGGGUCCUUGUUUGAGGGCAUAUCUUGGAGGCAGCCUCUAGUUCUGUUAUACACAGGGCCUGAUGUAGGCAGGGAGGGGAAAAUCCUAGGAGCAGCGGGAAGGCUGGAUGGCUAGCGCCACACGAACACCUCACUAUAACUGGCAUGGCUAGACUCUUUUUUUCCCCCACCUUUCUCAACAGGGUCUUUGGCUUUGCCAUUGUGGCUACCUCCACCCUAAACAUGUUGAUCCCUUCAGCAGCCCGCGUUCACUAUGGCUGUGUCAUCUUCGUGAGGAUCCUUCAGGGAUUGGUGGAGGUAAAGCCUGCCCCAUUAACCCUGCUUCUCUCUCUGAUCAUACCUCUUCUUGUUGACCUCUGUGCUCCCUCCCUAGGGGGUCACAUACCCUGCUUGCCAUGGCAUCUGGAGCAAAUGGGCCCCUCCCUUAGAACGGAGUCGGCUGGCAACGACAGCCUUUUGCGGUGAGAGGAAGGGGCUGGGGAGCAGCUCUUGUGCGAGGAGGGCUGAGCUGGGAGCUGGGAGCUGGGAUCUCAAUGUAGGUGCAGCAGAGAUUUCAGGGCUGAGGGGCUGCUCUCCUGGAUCUAGGAAAGACCUGGGACUAGGUCUGUUCUCUACCCUCGUUCUCUCCUCAGGUUCCUAUGCUGGGGCGGUGGUUGCCAUGCCCUUGGCUGGGGUCCUUGUGCAGUAUUCAGGAUGGAGUUCUGUCUUCUAUGUCUAUGGUGAGGGACCCAGAUGCAUGAUUCUGGGUGGCACUCAGGCUGGCUGAGCAAGUCUGGAUGUCACCCUACACCCAUAUCCCUGCUGACCCCCCCCCCUCAGGCAGCUUCGGGAUCUUUUGGUACCUGUUCUGGUUGCUUGUCUCCUAUGAGUCACCGGCACUGCACCCCAGCAUCUCUGAGGAGGAGCGCAAAUACAUUGAGGAUGCCAUCGGGGAGAGCGCCAAGCUCAUGAACCCUGUUACGGUUGGUACAGGGCUACAUGACUCUGUGUGUGUGUGUGUGUGUGCUCAAACCUGUGCAAAGACUCAGAGAAGAUAGAACUGCCAAGCAAAAGGCUGGGGGUGGGGGGCGAGGCAGGAGGAUUGUGAGUUCAAGGUCAGGCUAUAAAAUGAGUUCAAGGCCAGGCCAGGUAUUUCCUGAAGCUUUGUUUCUCACCUGGGUUAGAGGUUUAGCUCAGUGGUCCAUCCAUCGUUUGCCCAGAAUCCCCUAGUGAGGGGCUGCGGGUGUUUUACAAUGAAAGAGCAUCUGCCUAGCAUGCAUUCCUACUAC